rnacentral:rRNA from 1 species
CCUACGGGAGGCAGCAGUGAGGAAUAUUGGUCAAUGGGCGGAAGCCUGAACCAGCCAUGCCGCGUGAAGGAUGACGGCCCUACGAGUUGUAAACUGCUUUUGUAUGGGAGUAAAAUGCCUGACGUGUUGGGUUUUGAAUGUACGGUACGAAUAAGGAUCGGCUAACUCCGUGCCAGCGGCAGCGGUGAUACGGAGGAUCCGAGCGUUAUCCGGAUUGAUUGGGUUUAAAGGGAGCGUAGGUGGUUUUUUAAGUCAGUGGUGAAAUACCGAUGCUCAACAUAGGGACUGCCGUUCAUACUGGAAGACUAGAGUGCGGAAGAGGAGGGCGGAAUGCGUGGUGUAGCAGUGAAAUGCGUAGAUAUUACGAAGAACACCGAUGGCGAAGGCAGCUUGCUGGACCGGAACUGACACUGAGGCGCGAAAGCGUGGGGAUCAAACAGGAUUAGAUACCCUUGUAGUC